AUACGGAGGGUCCGAGCGUUAAUCGGAAUUACUGGGCGUAAAGCGCGCGUAGGCGGCUAUAUAAGUCAGAUGUUAAAUCCCUGGGCUCAACCUAGGAACUGCAUUUGAAACUGUAUGGCUAGAGUAUGGUAGAGGUGAGUGGAAUUUCAGGUGUAGCGGUGAAAUGCGUAGAGAUCUGAAGGAACAUCAGUGGCGAAGGCGAAUCACUGGGCCAUUACUGACGCUGAGGUGCGAAAGCGUGGGUAGCAAACAGGAUUAGAAACCCUUGUAGUCC
rnacentral:rRNA from 1 species